CUACGGGGUGCAGCAGUGGGGAAUAUUGCACAAUGGAGGAAACUCUGAUGCAGCAACGCCGCGUGGAGGAAGACACUUUUCGGAGCGUAAACUCCUUUUAUAUAGGAAGAAGAUGACGGUACUAUAUGAAUAAGCGCCGGCUAACUCCGUGCCAGCAGCCGCGGUAAUACGGAGGGCGCAAGCGUUACUCGGAAUCACUGGGCGUAAAGAGCGUGUAGGCGGAUUAAAAAGUCAGAAGUGAAAUCCUAUAGCUUAACUAUAGAACUGCUUCUGAAACUCUUAAUCUAGAAUAUGGGAGAGGUAGAUGGAAUUUCUGGUAUAGGGGUAAAAUCCGUAGAGAUCAGAAGGAAUACCGAUUGCGAAGGCGAUCUACUAGAACAUUAUUGACGCUGAGACGCGAAAGCGUGGGGAGCAAACAGGAUUAGAUACCCGAGUAGUC
rnacentral:rRNA from 1 species